rnacentral:rRNA from 1 species
UAAACGACCCUCGGCAACGGAUAUCUCGGCUCUCGCAUCGAUGAAGAACGUAGCGAAAUGCGAUACUUGGUGUGAAUUGCAGAAUCCCGUGAACCAUCGAGUCUUUGAACGCAAGUCGCGCCCGAAGCCAUUAGGCCGAGGGCACGUCUGCCAGGGCGUCACAC